AAACUAAGGCGGAUAAAAAUAAAACAUAGCAGAAACUUGUUUGAAAAAUGAGGUAACAGAAGAGAAGGACUUAACAAAUACCAUCACCAGCAAAAGCACAGAGCACAGAAGGCUGUUUAAUCA